GACGAACGCUGGCGGCGUGCUUAACACAUGCAAGUCGAACGGUAAGGCUCCAGCUUGCUGGGGUACACGAGUGGCGAACGGGUGAGUAACACGUGGGUGACCUGCCCUGCACUUCGGGAUAAGCCUGGGAAACUGGGUCUAAUACCGGAUAGGACCGCACCGUGAGGGUGUGGUGGAAAGUUUUUUCGGUGUGGGAUGGGCCCGCGGCCUAUCAGCUUGUUGGUGGGGUAAUGGCCUACCAAGGCGGCGACGGGUAGCCGGCCUGAGAGGGUGGACGGCCACAUUGGGACUGAGACACGGCCCAGACUCCUACGGGAGGCAGCAGUGGGGAAUAUUGCACAAUGGGCGGAAGCCUGAUGCAGCGACGCCGCGUGGGGGAUGACAGCCUUCGGGUUGUAAACUCCUUUCACCAUCGACGAAGGGUUUCUGACGGUAGAUGGAGAAGAAGCACCGGCUAACUACGUGCCAGCAGCCGCGGUAAUACGUAGGGUGCGAGCAUUGUCCGGAAUUACUGGGCGUAAAGAGCUCGUAGGUGGUUUGUCGCGUCGUCUGUGAAAUUCCGGGGCUUAACUCCGGGCGUGCAGGCGAUACGGGCAUAACUUGAGUACUGUAGGGGAGACUGGAAUUCCUGGUGUAGCGGUGAAAUGCGCAGAUAUCAGGAGGAACACCGGUGGCGAAGGCGGGUCUCUGGGCAGUGACUGACGCUGAGGAGCGAAAGCAUGGGGAGCGAACAGGAUUAGAUACCCUGGUAGUCCAUGCCGUAAACGGUGGGCGCUAGGUGUGGGUUUCCUUCCACGGGAUCCGUGCCGUAGCUAACGCAUUAAGCGCCCCGCCUGGGGAGUACGGCCGCAAGGCUAAAACUCAAAGGAAUUGACGGGGGCCCGCACAAGCGGCGGAGCAUGUGGAUUAAUUCGAUGCAACGCGAAGAACCUUACCUGGGCUUGACAUAUACAGGAUCGCGCCAGAGAUGGUGUUUCCCUUGUGGCUUGUAUACAGGUGGUGCAUGGUUGUCGUCAGCUCGUGUCGUGAGAUGUUGGGUUAAGUCCCGCAACGAGCGCAACCCUUGUCUUAUGUUGCCAGCACGCUGUGGUGGGGACUCGUAAGAAACUGCCGGGGUUAACUCGGAGGAAGGUGGGGAUGACGUCAAAUCAUCAUGCCCCUUAUGUCCAGGGCUUCACACAUGCUACAAUGGUCGGUACAGUGGGUUGCCAGUCCGUGAGGGCGAGCUAAUCCCGCAAAGCCGGUCUCAGUUCGGAUCGGGGUCUGCAACUCGACCCCGUGAAGUCGGAGUCGCUAGUAAUCGCAGAUCAGCAACGCUGCGGUGAAUACGUUCCCGGGCCU
rnacentral:rRNA from 1 species